AGAGAAACAAAGUAGGAAGAGAGAAAAUGGGAAGAGAAGUAUGAGAGAGCUGCGUGGAUAGUCUACUCACAGAGAUGGUAUCCAUGUACUGCAAUCGCUUAAUAAGCUCGAGCUCGCUGCCAGUAGGAUUGACGCUAUUGGCUACCAGGUCGCCGCCCAGAAUUUAUUCAAAAACUGGUAUCACAGAAGAUUCGACUUGAGGCUAUUAAAUUCUUUCAUGCAUUUGAACAGCUUGACAAGUUCCCUCCUAUACCCCUGCUUAAAGCACAUUUGAAGUUUGCCAAGGAGGUCCAAGAGGGGGCAAGAUCCUCAUAAGGCAGGAGGAUGCUGCUGUAGAUAAAGAAGUAAUAUCUCUAAGAGCUAUAGCUUGGAGUUGAACCACAGUAUUCUCCGGAGAACCUCAGAGCGCGCAUCAGCCAGCUGAAAAAAGCAGAAAAACGAGAAGCAAGUUUCUCAAGUAAUCAGUACCAGCCAUCCAUUUAUCACCUUUAGCUUAGUUCUAUACUCAGGCACCGGUUUAUAAGGAGAGAAUUUGUAUGCUUGCUGGUACCUGUAAUGUGAGUUAGAUCAGCCAGAUGUGUUACAAACUAUUUUGUCAUCCUUUUUCAAAGAUUAUACCUCAUUAACAGUUAUUGAAAUCAUAUCAACCCAUCAGACACGUACCCUAUUGCUC